GCGGCGGCGGUGCGCUCGCGGUGUAGUCCUCACUCUGCGCAGCAAAUCCACCGAGCUUUGUUAUGGUUAGUCUUCGAGGCAACAGAGCGCAUGCGCCAGGACACUCAUAACUAGCAUUCAAAUCUACAAAGCCUCGAGGCGCAGGCGAGCAGUCGAUUCCUGGAGCCUGCCUCGGCAACAGACUACUCUGGCUCCCAGCGGCCCCUGUGCCCCUCGCACGCGUAAUGAGGAGUCGAAAACAACGCAUGCGUAGGUCUGCAGUGACUGUACCACUUGCUCGAGCUCUUCCCACUGCAGGAGCUCAGAACUGGCAAGAACCCUGACCAAAGCAGUAACUCCUGGUUCUGCUGGUACACCUCUUGUACCUGGAGCUGGCUCUCCAUCUGGCUGAGACGUCAUCUUUAACACUUCAAAACAAGCCUAAGGAGAAAAGAUUUUGGUGAUGUGACAUGAAAAUAGACAGCACAAAUAUAGACCAGGAUAACAGAAGAUGUACACGCUGGGUGUUGAAUCUCAUUUGGAAGCCAAACCACAGUUACUUGACAGUCCAGGAAAUUUUUCACAGCUGAGCCAUUGUGUUUUCUUCAGAAGUUAGAAAUAAGAUUGGCGGAUUCAUGUCCGUAUUCACCCACGCAGCAAAGUACUGGAAGAACUGCAUUAUUUCAUCCCAUUCUUCGUGCAUGUUCAAAAUAGUUGAUGGGUGAAGGAAUGCUGGCUGGUUUUAUGCUAAGAAAAAAGCCUCCACAAGUUCACAUUCAGUACAAUGGACUUGCUUAAACACAGAAGUCUGUGUUAUUCUAUGGAAAAGGCCUUUCAAAACUGAGGAAGAUAUAUGAAAAAGAAAAAUACGUAAAAUUUUCUUUGGCUGUGGGACACUCCGAACAACUUAGCAAUUACAGUUGGUAUGUAAGUAAUGUGAAAUAAGAUGAAUUAUUUGUUUUUGAAUCUGAAGUUUCCAAAGCUUCAGAGAUGACAUAGAUGAAAUAGAAUUAGAAAAAAUGCUUUAUGUAAGCAAGAAUGAAUUUGGUAUUCCAAGCACUGUCAUUCAUUGUGGAAAAUUCUUGGUGCUCGUGUACCUUAGAUAUCUACUGGGGUACUUCCAGAUACAUGCACUUAGGUACAAGACAUAAUAUCUGUAAACUAAUGAAGAUCAUUUAGUUCAGGCACUGAAACCUAGCAAAAAGCUAUUAAAUAAACCUUAAUAAAAUAAAUUAACUUCACAAUGAUCAACUGUUAGGAUUCUAAUAGGCUUUUAUAACAAGCCUUUGUCUUGGAUGCAGAAAAUACCUUUGGAAAAGACAGAUGGGAGGCUAUCUGACUGAUUUGUGAGAACAGUCAAAAUGUGCUAUGAGAAGGGAUUUCCUCCAGUGUGACCCGCUGCACUGAUGUCCAAGCUGCAGCUCAUUUCAGAAGUGUUGCUGAGCUCCUUAAUGGUGCUUUGGGACAGCUUUUCCUUAUCUGAAACCACUCAUUAAUGAUACCAAAGGUCUGAA